AUAAAGUCCGCAUGUUUAUAUCUCCUCCUCCCUAAAUUUCCACAGAAACAAAAGAGACAAGAACAAUCUACAGGUCAUUAGAAAACAAAAAGAGUGCAAACAGGAAAAAUAAUAUUUGGGGAACUUCCACAUAGUAGAAAGACGAUGGAUGUGGACAACUGGGUGUGAAUAGGCAACGGACUCCCACAAUGAGAAUGCAGACAAACCAGCCCCAGCACAAUAGCAGCUACGAGGAUGUAGACAAAGCGGCCAGGACAACAGCGGCAGAAGGGGAUUGCCCUUUCUAACCCAAUCAAGGGAAGAUGCUGAGUCAUGGCAGAACCUGAAUCGCAGCAUUUGCAGAGAGGAGCACAGAGCAGUGGACCUGGACCAUACACGAAGUGGACGCCAAGCCUAAUCAGAAAGAGUUUGCUCUACUUUCACGACCUUGGGUCUUCAAGAAGUACAUCUCCCUGUGUGAAGAGGGCUUUCAAUCCCUUGUCAUCACCAGAGUUUGGAACCAGUUAUAUUUCACCUGGCCCCAGAGGUACCUAUGUUAAUUAAGACAACAGCAGCUGCUAAGCAGCUCACCCAUGAAACUUCAGUGGUCUAACUCAUUAAAAGUUUCUCACCCAGGUAAAGUCCAAAAGGAAUGUUGCCGGUCAUUGAGUGACGUUGCUUGAAGUGAUACUUUAUAAAUCAAGAUUCCUUCCAUUCUAUGUCACUUUCAGUUACCACCCACAGUUUCAGAAUUCACCUGGGAAGGUAAAAGAACACGAAUAAUUGCCCAGGGGAUGCUUGGAUGGGCCAGGCCCAGAAGUGGCGCAUGGUAAUUUCACUUGCAUUCUAUUGGCUAGAGAGCAGUCAUAAUGACCAGACCCAACUGCAAGGGAUUCUGGGAGAUGUAGUCCGACUGCCCAGGAAGAGGGAGCCAACACAAGGCAGUCUCAGAAGAAGUCACAGGGUCACUUUGGUAUAAUUUUCCCUAGUAAAUUUUUCUGAGGCCACUAUGGAUAUCCUGGACUUCUGUGCAGAAAAAAUGUGUAAAAGUACUUCCAUAAUGCCUUUCCAGAACCUGCCAGUGAUGUUAUUUAAAAUUAAUUUGAGAGACCAGGGGAAUAUAUCAGUAAACCAUUUUAAUUGUGUAGUACUUCAGAACUUUCAAAAUGAUUUCUCAUUCUUUCAUUUGAUUUUCUUAGUGCUCUUCUCUCAGUGUCUAUAAGCUUCAGUCGGGAAAUAUUAGCUGAUUUCCCAUUUUGCCAGGCUCUGGUCUGAGCGCUAGGGCUGUAGUGGUGAACAGAAAAAAGACCCCUGCACUCAUUUUUCCUGUAUCCAAGGAAAAGCAGCUUAUAUUUGCAAGUUUCAGGGGCUAAGAGUCCCGAAAAACAAAACUAGGAUGAAAUGACGGAGGAUAAGGCCACAUGGGGUAAAGUAUGUGUUUAAAUGUUCUUGGGAUUUUGUUUUAAUCAGUGUGGCAAGAUGACAGACAUGGAGACAACUGCCUUGAAAAAAGAGUUUAUACUCACAGUUCCCUACAGGAGGGGGAUACCAUGCCCUGCAGUGCCACAUGGGGAAGCACCAGGGUUGGCCAGGAGGCAGUGCAAGCAAGGAGAAAGCAUGGGCAAGAGCCAUUAUUUUAGAUUUCACAGGAAAGAAUGAGGGGGGCAGACCGGGCAGGCAGUGCAAGUUUAGGAUUGGAUACUUUGGCUAAUUUCAGUGGGCUUUUGACUAUAGCAACAGUCCUGAGUUGUCUGGUACCUGGCCCUGGGAUGAUUUAGGGCAGGAGGAAUAUUGGCUUGGUGUGUGAGUGAGAUAAAGGAAGGUGUUGAGGCGUGGGCUUUGGAUUGGUUGGUUUGCAUGUGAAAGGCAUGCUUAACAUGGUGAAACCCCAUCACUACUAAAAACACAAAAAUUAGCCAGGCAUGGUGGCACAUGCCUGUAAUUCCAGCUACUUGGGAGUCUGAGGCGCGAGACUCACUUGAAUCCAGGAGGUGGAGGUUGCAGUGAGCCGAGAUCAAGAUUGUGCCACUUGCAAUCCAGCGUGGGCAACAGAGCAAGACUCCAUCUGAAAGAAAGGAAAAGAAAAGAGAAAAGAGGAAAGGAAAGGAAUGGAAUGGAAUGAAAAGGAAAGGAAAAGAAAAGAAAAAAAAAGAAAAGAAAAGAAAAGAAAAGAAAAGAAAAGAAAAGAAAAGAAAAGGAAAGGAAAGGAAAGACAAGAAAAGGGCAUUCUUGCAGGCAAGUUGUUUCCUAUCCCUAGGAGCCAGCCCUGGAGGGGCAGUUUCUCCAGGAUGAGCAAAGCCCCAAGAUGUCAAAACAUCAUAAAGCACAGAAAAUAAAAACAUGAUUAAUACAAUGCAGCAGUGGGCACAUAAAUUUAGAAUGGAGGGUCAGCAAAGGCUUUCCUGAAGAGUUGAUAUUGGAGAUGAGAUCAGAAUUACAUGAAGAUGCCAGCCACACAAAGAUCCAGAGGGAGAGCACAUCAGGCAAAAGCACAAGGCAAGCACAAGCUUAGGCCAGUCCAAGAGGAUGGAAAGGGCCAGCAUGGCUGGAGUAGGGAGAUAAGGUAGUAGAAGAUGAGGCCAGAUAGGCAGGACUCUGGAGGCCAUGGCAGGACUUUGGAUUUCAUUAGGACUGCAAUAGGAAGCUAUUAAAGGGUAUUGCACAGAGCAAUGUCAUCUGAUUUGCAUUUUUAAAAAGUCACUGACUGGUGAGGAGAACAUAUUGCAUGCGGGCACCAGUGGGAAGCAGUGAGAUGAGUCAACCGGGGGGUGCACUAAAGCAUGACUUGAGAAGUAAGACAUAGCUCCUUCUCCCGCUUUGUCUGCCUAACACUGACACUCUGGCAUGCCUGUACUUUGUGUGACUUGGCUCAAAUAUGACCUUUGUUUGAAACAGAUCAUUCAUUUAUCACUUUUUUUUUCAUAAAUCUAAGUAUUCCCAUUCUCAAAGUGAUCCUCCCACACUUUUCUUACCUGUCAUGCACUAUUGAUGACAAGAAGGACCCCAGCUGAGAACUCUCUAUGGAUUGUCCAGUAUGUGCCCUCAAGUGUUUGGUAACUCUGGGAAAUAUAAAUAAAGUUUAUUGGAUAAUGGUCCUAACCUGUAAAGAACUGAAAAAUUCCACUGCAAACCCAAGAAAAUAUGCAUAACUCAAGAGGAAGACAGAUUAUCCCUAAGAUAGAGAGCUCCGUCCUAGAUGACUCAGAGCAGGAUUCACGAGGAG
rnacentral:lncRNA from 1 species